CCUACGGGUGGCAGCAGUGAGGAAUAUUGGUCAAUGGGCGCGAGCCUGAACCAGCCAAGCCGCGUGAAGGAUGACUGCCCUACGGGUUGUAAACUUCUUUUAUAAAGGAAUAAAGUGAGGCACGUGUGCCUGUUUGUAUGUACUUUAUGAAUAAGGAUCGGCUAACUCCGUGCCAGCAGCCGCGGUAAUACGGAGGAUCCGAGCGUUAUCCGGAUUUAUUGGGUUUAAAGGGAGCGUAGAUGGGUUGUUAAGUCAGUUGUGAAAGUUUGCGGCUCAACCGUAAAAGUGCAUUUGAAACUGGCAGCCUUGAGUACAGGAGAGGUAGGCGGAAUUCGUGGUGUAGCGGUGAAAUGCUUAGAUAUCACGAAGAACUCCGAUUGCGAAGGCAGCUUACUAGACUGCCACUGACAUUGAUGCUCGAAAGUGUGGGUAUCAAACAGGAUUAGAUACCCUAGUAGUC
rnacentral:rRNA from 1 species